rnacentral:rRNA from 1 species
GUCGGUGAUUAUAGCGAGGAUGAAACACCCGAUCCCUUCUCGAACUCGGACGUGAAAAGCCUCUGCGCCGAUGGUACUUUGUCUUAAGGCACGGGAGAGUAGGUCGUUGCCGACU